AAAACGGCCAUCUUGUUUAGUGGGCAGCUGAGAACAAAAGUGUCAACAUCAAGAUCGAGACGAAGAUCAUACCAAGAAAAAUAGGAAAUAAUUUAUUUUCUAUUCCUCUUUGCUGUUAAUUAUCCUUAUUUACAAGUUUAAAUUAUUCAUGCGCUAUCCAAUUCAGUCAUUAUGAAGUGCUGAUACAAAAAUUAACAUAACAAGGUAUACUCCGUCAUAUCACAUACCCUCCGUCGUAAUGACAGGUAAAUUGUUGUCGAAAAAACGCUACAAUCGGGACCGCAGUGUAUCACGUGACAGUAGCUGUAGCGAUGAUGGCGACAGACGGUAUUCUAGAAAAUACACUAAGAGCAGUAGAUAUAGGUAUGACACACGCGAUCGGUCCAGAGAUCGCUACCGGCGAUCGUAUAGCAGAAGCAGGAGUAGCAGCAGCAGUAGUAGUAGCUCAGAUAGGGGAGGUCGCGGGGGAAGCAAGAAAAAGCCGCUCAGAACUAAGUACGAUGACCUCAUGGACAAAGUUAAGGUGAAGGAGGAACCUGUCAGUGAUGAGGACGGUGAUAGGAGAAAAACUAAAUCUAGGUCAACAAAUGUAAAGAGCCGCUACUCGGAUGAAGAGGCUGGAGGUGAUAGAUACAAAAACAGUAGGAGGUCCACGGAAAGAGACGACACGUGGAAGAAUCGGCGUGUGAAGAAGGAGCGAUGGGGUGGGGGAGGUGAUGACAAGGAACACGAGUGGGGCAAGAAGUCGGACCGACUGGACGGAUCCUCACACAACAAGAAACCCCUAGUGGACAAAGCGAAACCCGACUUUGGUUUGUCGGGCAAACUGACCGAGGACACAAACACCUUCAACGGCGUUGUAAUCAAGUACAGCGAACCGCCCGAGGCGCGCAAACCGAAACGACGCUGGCGUCUGUAUCCGUUCAAGGGUGACGAGUGUCUCAAGACGCUACACAUCCAUCGACAGAGCGCGUUCCUGAUUGGUCGAGACCGUAAGGUGGCCGAUAUCCCCGUCGAUCACCCGUCCUGUUCGAAGCAGCACGCCGCGUUACAGUAUCGGCUAGUCACCUAUAACCGGGAGGACGGUCGUGCCGGUAAGCGGAUAUGUCCCUACAUCAUCGAUCUCGAAUCGGCCAACGGCACUUUUGUCAACAACAAAAAAAUCGAAGCGAAAAAGUAUGUGGAACUGUUGGAGCGUGACGUCAUCAAGUUUGGGUUUAGUUCUAGGGAGUAUGUGCUACUGCAUGAGCAUAGCAAGGAUAGUGAAGAUGAUGACAAUGUCUUCGAUAAUAGUGAUUGAUUGGACCGCUUUUGACCGAAUAGUAAAGUGUUCGAUAGUGGGUAAAUUGAUCGACUGUAGUGGAGAGAAUCAAUUGUAACAUUUAAAAUUAUUGGAAUUGAUCGACUGUAGUUGAGAGGAUAGUUAUGUUUGCUAUAAUACUGAUUGAUUGGGCCGCUUUUGACCGGAUAGUGAUGUGUUCUAUAGUGGGUAAAUUGAUCGACUGUAGUGUAGAGAUUCAAUCUUAGACCAGUUAUAGAAUAGACACGCCCCAUACUGAAAGUCGAUGAAGCCAACAUCUACUGCCAUAUCGCCCCAUCGUGACGUCAGCAUCGGAUAGAAAACGUUUCUGUAGAGUUUGUUUACAUUAUGUUCGCCUGUAGUUUUCUAUACGAUGCUGACGUCACGAUGGGGCGAUAUGGCAGUAGAUGUUGGCUUCAUCUACUUUCAGUAUGAAUAUACAAUGGGGCGUGUCUAUUCCAUAACUGGUCUAAGAUUCAAUGGUACAUUUUUGAUUAUUGGAAUUGAUCGACUGUAGUGAAGAGGAUAAUAAUGUUUGCGAUAACAACAAAUUAUUAGGCCUGUGACUGAAUAGUAAUGUGGUCGAUAGUGGGAAUUGAUCGAGACU
rnacentral:misc_RNA from 1 species